rnacentral:tRNA from 1 species
UGUCCAAGGAUGGGAAUCGAACCCACAGUGUUCCGCUUACCGGGCAGAUGACAUGUCCACUAGACUAACCUGGAC